AGCCUUUGUAAAAAUAUCAAAGGUGGGACCUGCCCGGUGGUUUAAAGAUUUAAUUAUGAUCAAUUUAAAAUAAAAUUUAACGGACGCGGUAACUCUGACUGUGAUAAUGUAGCAUAAUAAGUUGCCGCUUAAUUGGUGGAGUGUAUGAAUGGUUUUACGAAUAUUUCAUUGUCUUAAAGAGAAUUUUUUAAAAUUAAAAUAAUAGUUAAGAUGCUAUUUUAAACUGUAAGACGAAAAGACCCUAUAGAGCUUUACUAUAUUUAUUUUGGUAGUUUAGUUGGGGCGACUGUCUUUUAUAAUUAACGAAGUACAAGCAAUAUUAAUAAUUUUAAUUUAUUGUAUAAUAAUUAGAUUUAACAAUUACAAAUGUAGGCUAUAAUGACCCGUUAAGAUUUAUUAAACAACUUAACGAUCAAUAAAUAAAAGCUACCUUAGGGAUAACAGGAUAAUUUUGUUUUAGAGUUCUAAUCGAAUACAAAGUUUGUCACCUCUAUGUUGAAUUAAGAUAUCCAGGUAAUGYUAGAAGUUACCAAAGGUGGGUCUGUUCGACCCAUAAAAU
rnacentral:rRNA from 1 species